AGAGAGAGAGAGAAUGAGAGAUAGAGAGCACGAGAGGGAAGAGAGCCAGAGGUGGCCAACCGAAAGUUCAUUCUUAAUCUGUAAGCCUUUUUGGGAGGUGAUCUCUCUGGUCCUUUCUGCCUCCUUCCACAGAUCCCUGAGGCAGAGAAGCAACUGAAAUGUGCUGGACUCAGCCUGGGGUCCUGGGGUGCAGCUGGGUUACUCUUGCCUGUUUGGGAACGGUCACAGGGAAUGGUUGAAAUAAUGUUGCCUCACUUUCGAUCAUGCUUUUUCCUGUACUUCAAGUAGAAGAAUGUAUUUUCUUGCAUAACUUGGGGAAGCUGCACUGUUUCAUGUGUUACCUUCUUACAGGUUUCUCUUCCUCUA